rnacentral:rRNA from 1 species
GUAAGGGAAUCUUCCACAAUGGGCGCAAGCCUGAUGGAGCAACACCGCGUGAGUGAAGAAGGGUUUCGGCUCGUAAAGCUCUGUUGUUAAAGAAGAACACGUAUGAGAGUAACUGUUCAUACGUUGACGGUAUUUAACCAGAAAGUCACGGCUAACUACGUGCCAG